rnacentral:miRNA from 2 species
AGAAAACCAGCUUCCAGAUCU